GGACCCGCACAAGCGGUGGAUGAUGUGGUUUAAUUCGACGCAACGCGAAAAACCUUACCUACCCUUGACAUGUCUGGAAUUUUGCAGAGAUGCGAAAGUGCUCGAAAGAGAGCCAGAACACAGGUGCUGCAUGGCCGUCGUCAGCUCGUGUCGUGAGAUGUUGGGUUAAGUCCCGCAACGAGCGCAACCCUUGUCAUUAGUUGCUACGAAAGGGCACUCUAAUGAGACUGCCGGUGACAAACCGGAGGAAGGUGGGGAUGACGUCAGGUCAUCAUGGCCCUUAUGGGUAGGGCUACACACGUCAUACAAUGGCCGGUACAGAGGGCAGCCAACCCGCGAGGGGGAGCCAAUCCCAGAAAACCGGUCGUAGUCCGGAUCGCAGUCUGCAACUCGACUGCGUGAAGUCGGAAUCGCUAGUAAUCGCGGAUCAGCUUGCCGCGGUGAAUACGUUCCCGGGUCUU
rnacentral:rRNA from 1 species